rnacentral:rRNA from 1 species
GACGAACGCUGGCGGCAUGCUUAACACAUGCAAGUCGAACGGGACCUCCGGGUCUAGGGGCGCACGGGGACGUACCGCGGGGUAACUUGCACGUAAGUUCGGAACAACUCACCGAAGGGGGUGCUAAUAACGGUGAAUGUCUUAGGGCCAAAGAUCUAUGGCCUUUGGAUGGGCCCUGGUAAGAUUCGCCGGUUGGUAGGGUAAAAGCCGGCUAAGGGGAGGAUGCAUAGCUGGUGGGAGAGGAGGACAAGCCACACUGGGACUGAGACACGGCCCAGAAUGCGACGGGGGGCAGCAGUAGGUAAUAUUGGACAAGGAGCGAAAGCCUGAUCCAGCCGUGCGGGGGAAGUGGUGAAUGCCUUAGGAUUGUAAAGCUCUUUUACCCGGGAUGUUAGUGACGGUACCGGGUGAAUAAGCACCGGCUAACUCCGUG